rnacentral:rRNA from 1 species
CCCUUAGAUGUUCUGGGCCGCACGCGCGCUACACUGAUGCAUUCAACGAGCCUAUCCUUGACCGACAGGUCCGGGUAAUCUUUGAAUCUGCAUCGUGACGGGGAUAGAUUAUUGCAAUUAUUAAUCUUCAACGAGGAAUGCCUAGUAGGCACAAGUCAUCAGCUUGUGCCGAUUACGUCCCUGCCCUUUGUACACACCGCCCGUCGCUACUACCGAUUGAAUGGCUCAGUGAGGCCUUCGGACUGGCCCAGGGAGGUUGGCAACGACCACCCAGGGCCGGAAAGUUGGUCAAACUUGGUCAUUUAGAGGAAGUAAAAGUCGUAACA